rnacentral:lncRNA from 1 species
GCUUGCAACCUAGCUCACACCUGACCAAUCAGGUAGUAAAGAGAGCUCACUAAAGUGCUAAUUAGGCAAAAACAGGAGGUAAAGAAAUAGCCAAUCAUCUAUCGCCUGAGAGCACAGCGAGACACAAUGCUGGGAGGUAAACUCAGGCAUUCGAGCCCGCAACAGCUACCCUCUUUGGCUCCCCUCCCUUUGUAUGGGAGCUCUGUUUUCACUCUAAAAUCUCUUCUGGUCUGUGUUUGUUACCGCUGAGCUUUCCCUCGCCUACCACCACUGCUGUUUGCUGCUGUGGCAGACCCGCCACUGACUUCCAACCUUCCGGAUGCCGCAGCGUUUCCGAUGUGCUCCUGAUCCAGCGAGGCGCCCGUUGCCGCUCCCCACAGGGCUAGAGGCGUGCCGUUGUUCCUGCACAGCUAAGUGCCCGGGUUCGUCCUAGUCGAGCUGAACGCUAGUCACUGGGUUCCACCGUUCUCUUCCACGACCCACUACUUCUAAUAGAGCUAUAACACUCACUGCAUGGCCCAAGAUUCCAUUCCUUGGAAUCCCUGAGGCGAAGAACCCCAGGUCAGAGGACAGGAAGCUUGCCACCAUCUUGGAAGCGGCCCACAGCCAUUUUGGAAGCGCCCGCCACCACUUGGGAGCUCUGGACCCCCGGUAACAAUAAGAAAUGAAAGAAUGCCAUUGUUUAUGAUGCCAGAUGAUCUGAAAACUAUGCAAAGCUUCAUUCAUCCUUCACAAAAGCCAAACCACCAGAAUAAUGACUGGCAAGAAGCAUGGUUUUAAUAAUCCAGAACAUCAGUGUAAAUGGAGACAGGAGGAAGAAAUUGGAUUGAUUCUCCACUUGAGAAUUACGUUAACUUGGAAGAAAAUGUUAGUCUACUAAGCGAAGGCAUCUGGUAAGAGGGAAGAUAUCACCUCCCUUCCCCCAUUGUGGCCCUUUAUGCACCUCUGACCCUUGUUCUCUCCUUUUUUUGUUGCUUCUGUGGUCUGGUUGUUAGCUUUCCGGAUCCUCCACACAUUAGAAACCUAAGCAUAAUGAUUUCUGAUCUAAGGCUAUGGAAUAUUUGAAAUAAGAAAAGGGGAAAUUGUUGAGUCUAGAACCAAACCUUUUGAAAUAAAGAACUACCGGUCUGUAAUGUGUGCCUUUAGAAAAAAACAAAGUCAAACAGAAAUUAGAUAACUAGUUACAGUCGUGAUUGUGCUCUGCCACCUUGGAACUCCCGUAUGUGACUAUUUCCACUCUGGCUUUGUGUUUCAGUAGGUCAGGGACAUACAUUAAGAGCAACAAUUGGAACUGCGUUCUCCUUUACCUCCAUAAAAACACAGCUUAAUAACGUGUUAAUGACUUAAAAUUACCUUGUCUUUCUAGAUUGCUUAUUGAUGUCAUUUCAGAUCGGUAUAAAGGAUGUGAAGCGAAUGAGAAAAUAGGAACGUUUCUUUUUCUUUUUUCCCCCUUUCUACCGACUAGGAAGAGAUCCAGUCCAGGUUUU